UACGGGGGGGGCAAGCGUUGUUCGGAAUUACUGGGCGUAAAGGGUUCGUAGGUGGCUUACUAAGUCAAACGUGAAAUCCCUCAGCUUAACUGGGGAACUGCGUCUGAUACUGGUGAGCUCGAGGACAGGAGAGGAACGCGGAAUUCCAGGUGUAGCGGUGAAAUGCGUAGAUAUCUGGAGGAACACCGGUGGCGAAGGCGGCGUUCUGGACUGUUUCUGACACUGAGGAACGAAAGCCAGGGGAGCAAACGGG
rnacentral:rRNA from 1 species